rnacentral:lncRNA from 1 species
UUCGUAUCAGAGCAGUACUAACCUAGGAGCCCCCUUGAUUGAUCGAACUUGGCCGAGUCGAGUCUAGUGAAAAACUGAUUUGAGUAUAGUUACAUAUCGAAGAGUAGGAUUCUUUUUUCUCCUCUUCUAUGCUCUGGUGAGGAAUCUUGACGUAAUAAUUUUAAUUUCACUCCUCUUCUCACUAAAAAAAAUAGCUUCCUCACACAACAUCUGAAAAAUUUGUUUGUGCGUUACAAGAUGCCGAUACUAACCUUUAUCUCCAGUGUUACAAGAUGCCGAUACUAACCUUUAUCUCCAGUGUUAUAAUGUGGUUGCCACUCGUGAUCAUACUAGCUUCAGCUCACGAACAUCUGAAAACACCUUCACUAGCAACCCGGCGACUCAUCUGGAAAGCACAACUCCAUCCUCUACACAGGUACCACCCUCCUCUAUCUCACUCCCUAAUCUUCUCUUACACCCAAUAUGAGAUAUAUGUCCAUGGCAUGCUGAUUUCAUCCACUCUUUGUCCUUUCCUCCUCCUUACUUUCAUUUCGAUAUGUCCUGUUGAUUUUGUCAGGAGAAGUUUUG